rnacentral:rRNA from 1 species
GACGAACGCUGGCGGCGUGCCUAAUACAUGCAAGUCGAGCGGACCAAACAGGAGCUUGCUCUUGUUUGGUUAGCGGCGGACGGGUGAGUAACACGUGGGUAACCUGCCCGUAAGACCGGGAUAACUCCGGGAAACCGGAGCUAAUACCGGAUAACACCGAAGACCGCAUGGUCUUUGGUUGAAAGGCGGCUUCGGCUGCCACUUACGGAUGGGCCCGCGGCGCAUUAGCUAGUUGGUGAGGUAACGGCUCACCAAGGCGACGAUGCGUAGCCGGCCUGAGAGGGUGACCGGCCACACUGGGACCUAGACACGGCCCAGACUCCUACGGGAGGCAGCAGUAGGGAAUCUUCCGCAAUGGACGAAAGUCUGACGGAGCGACGCCGCGUGAGCGAAGAAGGUCUUCGGAUCGUAAAGCUCUGUUGUUAGGGAAGAAGAAGCGCCGUUCGAACAGGGCGGCGCGGUGACGGUACCUAACGAGAAAGCCCCGGCUAACUACGUG